ACAGUCGCUGUCCCACAAGGGGCUCACAGUUUCGAUCCCCAUUUUGCUGCUUUGGCACCUAGGCCCUGAAAAAAAAUUACCAGUAGGGAGAAGUUCUAGAAUAUGACAGAGAUCUCUUUCCCCUACUAGACUCUAGUCUCCUGAAGGGCAGGGAGCAGCAUACGGAAUGAUUGAUUGCAAGGUCUCUAACUGAUCGGAACAUAUUUUGACGUGCACGGGUCAGGACCGGUGAGGAGACAUCAGUCUUUCCCCGGGGAUGGACAUUUUCUUAUCCGUAGGGCCAGAGGAUGCCCAGAGAGUCACCUGGAGAGGUUCCAGGGCAGAUGUUCUUUUCUCUCACCCCCACUCCCCAUCCCCAGAGGAGCCUCUGGAUGGUCAUGGGGAACGUCUCCGUUGGCGCUCGGUCCCGGAAGGAGCUGUGGACUAGAAUCCCAGUCUGGAGCCGCCAGGGAGGACAGCUCCUCUUCUCUCCCCGACCCGUCAGCGAGUGGCUUGGGUGCGGAUGACCCCGGAACCGCGACCCACUCAUGUGAAGAAAUGGAACCAGGAGCUGCACUGCCUAUCCAAAGGGAAGAUGGAGUGGGCAUGUGUUUGUCUACGUGUGCACGUGUGAUGGGGAUUCAUCUUACGAGACAGGGGCUGCUACUCUCAGCGCAGAGGUUCAUUCUGGAAAUGGGAGUUAACACAGCCAAUUCAUUCUGCUAGACUUGACUCUGGGACCCGAGAAGUCGCAGGGACCUUAAAGGUUCAGGCGGGUCAAACCUCCCUGUGCCCCCAGUCUGGGUCCGACCUCACUGACUGGUAUCUAUCCCGGUGCUUAUAACAGUGCUUGGCACAUAGUAAGCGCUUAAUAAAUACCACGAUCAUGAUCCUCAGGGAGCAGAAGUCAGUCUCCUCAACCCCAAAUGGAUUUCAGCCAAGAUGAGGAGAGAAGCUCCAGGAACAAUUCACUUACAUCACCAAGCACUCAGAGGCCCCAGUCUGGCUGCUUCAAAGUCCUCGAUUCUCCUGGAGACAUUAAUAUCUGGCGACUGAGAUGUGGACCUCAGCUGCUGACAGAGGGCAGGGUGAGAAACCCAUACCUUCAGGAUCACUAAUCCAGGGUCAUCGGGAGGAGGGAAAAUUGAAUGCUUGCUAACCAAGUCUGAAAGCCCAAACCGUCUCUCUUCCGCUUCGAGACCACCGAUUCUCUGGGAGACAUCAGCAUCCGGCGAUUUCAGUUAUGACUUUGGGUGUGGACGGAGGGCGAGGUGAGAAACCCCUAUCUUUGGGAUCGCUAAAUCCAGGCGUCCCUGCCGAGGUUUCAGAUGUGCAAUCGGCAGGACCGGAAGAGGAGCGCCAAUCGUUCCCUACCUUUUUCGGACCGAUGCUCCGGGACCCCGUACCACGUGGCCGGAGGAGGCCUCGACGGCGAGCCCUCCCCCGGCCCCCGCAAAGGUUCGUCGUCCAGAUGGUCCUGAGACUCGGAAGGAAGUCCCAAGGCCAUCACACAAGGCAGGGCUUGUCACCGUCUACCUCCUCCUAAUCUGAGUCUCUAUAGGGAGCAUAGAAAGAUUUGGUCCUGCGUCCCGUAGGCCUUACCACUCUCCUGUUUAGUCUGCCACCUCACUGGAAAGUUCUUGCUCUUUCAGUGUGGGCCUCUCCCAGCCCGGGAGUGUGGAAGAUCGAGUGGGAGGGUUAGGGAAGAGUGGAGAAGCUUGGGCAUCUGUGGCCAUUCUCUCAGGUCUGUUGACCAAUAGGUUGAUGAGAGGGUGGUGGAGGAAUGUCUUUAUUUUGGAGAAACCGUAUUGUUUGCAACGCCUCCCAUUUCCUUCUCCACUUGCAGGAGCACCAUCAGACCACUCAUUCCGCAGAGUGCCGUCGGGGGGAGUCUAAGUACCGGGACCACCUCGACGAUCUCACAGCUGCUGAGAAGGAAUUUAACUCUGUCCGUCUUCGGCUCGGCCACGGAUCCGCCAUUCCAGAUGUGCACGGGUCAGGACCAAUGGAGAAAUGUCAGUCUCUCCCCUGGGGCGGACACUUGCUUAUACCUAUGGCCAGAGGAGGCCCAGAGAGCAAAGCGCUCGUGUUCAGAGUGGAGCUGAGAUGAGGGAAGGCACCCAAAGAGUGGACUACGUCGCGACCGACGGGUCGCCGGCCGUCGCGCCGGACGCGGAACGUUCGGGUCCUCCGUGGCCGUGAGGAUCUCGACUGGGCGGCGUGGAUACGACGGGAUGGCUCCCCGGGCCUCUCCAGGGACCGAAUUGAGAACCAUCCCCGGCCCCCAAUCCGACGAUGCCGUUUCCUUGAGGAUAAAUAUGGUAUUGCCGGGGGUACCCGCUGCCUCCUCCGGAAAGCGAUGGGUUUGUGUGGGAUGCGUGUGUGCGCCGUGGGAUCGACUUGGAGGCGUGAGGGGGCCGUUCAUUCAUCGAAGGGUAUUUGUCGAGCACUUACCGUGUGCAAAGCUCUGUACUGAGGGCUCGGGAGAGUACCAUGACACAAUAAACAGGCCCAUUCCCUGU